UACAGAGGUCUCAAGCGUUGUUCGGAUUCAUUGGGCGUAAAGGGGUGCGUAGGCGGCGCGGUAAGUCGGGUGUGAAAUCUUGGAGCUUAACUCCGAAACUGCAUUCGAUACUGCCGUGCUUGAGGACUGGAGAGGAGACUGGAAUUUACGGUGUAGCGGUGAAAUGCGUAGAUAUCGUAAGGAAGACCAGUGGCGAAGGC
rnacentral:rRNA from 1 species